UUAAUUCAUAGAAAGUGCACCGUACGGAGUUUUAUUCACGAGUCGCAAAACUUUAGAAACAAACAAGUGAGCGUAGCGGAAGAGUGAGUUUCCA